rnacentral:lncRNA from 11 species
AGAGUGACGUUUGUACUGCUCCUCUAGUUUUUCUCAGGAAAAUAUAUCUCAUGUUGACAAUUCAUCUGAGCGUCACUGUUGGUAUAAUCUGCAUGUUCAUCUACUGGUGGAAGUCCUGCACCAGCCAUCUUGGGAGCCUCUAAAUCUCGCAAUUAAGUAUCAAGUCUGGACAACAGAGGCAGAAACCCCAGGAC